ensembl:lncRNA
AUACAGAAGAGCAUACCCGAGGAUCCACGGGGGAUUUGGAAUGGGAACAAGAGCGCGUACACACACAGCCGCUCUUCCAUCUUUAUCCCCCUCAGCCUUCCCACUGGACGGGACCUGGAUGUGUCCCCCAUCCUGAACUCCAGCAGGAUGUUCAUCCCCUUUAUAAGAAAAGACAUGAGCUUACUUCCUCUCUCAACUCUCUCUGCCAGCUGUGACUGACAACAUCCCAGGCAGCUGGUUUCCUCUCUGAGGAUGCAGCGUGUGGAUGGACCCUGAGCACAGCCUCUGGAUACAGACCAGAGCCACACAGGAUGCUAGGAUGGAGGCAUGAGGGUCAGCCGUCCGCCCAUUUCACAGAGGACCUCACUGAGGCCAGAGAGAUGAUACACUUUGCCUGGGAUUUCCCAGGGCCAAGGACUGCUGCAGGACAAAAGAAGGAGACAACAUGGCCCCAAAGGAACGACAGCGUUUGUCCCCAGUCUGAGUGGGACAUGUGUGUUGCCAUGGUUUAAGCCCCUACCUGAGGGCAUGCCAACUGCUAGGUAAGGAAAUCCGGGCCUGGCUAGAAGGAAGCAAUUGGAUGAAAUAGAAGAAAGUCAUGCAGGAGCCAGACCUCUGAGGUUCUGUCCUCACCUCUGGCACACUCCAGAGCCAGGAAGCAAAGCUUGACCAUCUGUGCCUCCGUGCCCCCGUCUCUUAAGGCAGGAUGAUAAUAGCUCAGCUGUGUUUCUGCUCCACAGUCAACAUGAUAUUCUGGUCUAGGGGUCAGAAGAGAUCAGAAGACCUAGGUUUGAAUCCCUGCCUCACCCCACAUGACUUGGGCAAAGGCUGUGGAACUACUGGAGGCUGUUUCCUCAUCUGUAAAAUCGAAACAUCUUAUCUACUUAAAAGGCUGCUAGAAGGACCAAAUGUGAUGUUGCCUAGGAAACAGAGCAGGACACAGAUGUGAGCGAUCUGGGCUUUUGGAGUUUGGGGAACUUCACCCUUGCCUCAUGUCAAGCCAUGCAGACCUUCCCAUCCUAAUCCACGGCUACUCGCUACCCCCGACCCCCAGCACCACCACUUCAUUCAAUUCAGGCUGCUGUAACAAACUAUCAUAGAUUAGGGGGAAAGGUGCUUAAACAAUAGACAUUUAUCUCUCCCAUUUCUGGAGGCUGGAAGUUCGAGAUCAAAACACCAACAGAUCCCUUCUGGCAAGAACCCUCUUCCU